UACGUAGGGUGCAAGCGUUAAUCGGAAUUACUGGGCGUAAAGCGUGCGCAGGCGGCUUUGUAAGUCAGAUGUGAAAUCCCCGGGCUUAACCUGGGAACUGCAUUUGUGACUGCAUGGCUGGAGUGCGGCAGAGGGGGAUGGAAUUCCGCGUGUAGCAGUGAAAUGCGUAGAUAUCUGGAGGAACACCGGUGGCGAAGGCGGCAUCCUGGACCGGUAUUGACGCUGAGGCGCGAAAGCUAGGGGAGCAAACGGG
rnacentral:rRNA from 1 species